rnacentral:rRNA from 1 species
GUAGGGAGCAAGCGUUGUUCGGAAUUAUUGGGCGUAAAGAGCGCGUAGGCGGCCAGGUAAGUCUGGUGUGAAAUCCCACAGCUCAACUGUGGAACUGCAUUGGAAACUGCUUGGCUAGAGUGCGGGAGAGGAGAGUGGAAUUCCCAGUGUAGAGGUGAAAUUCGUAGAUAUUGGGAGGAACACCAGUGGCGAAGGCGGCUCUCUGGACCGCAACUGACGCUGAGGCGCGAAAGCUAGGGGAGCGAACGGGAUUAGAUACCCCGGUAGUCCUAGCCGUAAACGAUGGGCACUAGGUGUAGGAGGUAUCGACCCCUUCUGUGCCGUAGCUAACGCAUUAAGUGCCCCGCCUGGGGAGUACGGUCGCAAGACUA